GAUGAACGCUGGCGGCGUGCCUAAUACAUGCAAGUCGAGCGAACAGACGAGGAGCUUGCUCCUCUGACGUUAGCGGCGGACGGGUGAGUAACACGUGGAUAACCUACCUAUAAGACUGGGAUAACUUCGGGAAACCGGAGCUAAUACCGGAUAAUAUAUUGAACCGCAUGGUUCAAUAGUGAAAGACGGUUUUGCUGUCACUUAUAGAUGGAUCCGCGCCGCAUUAGCUAGUUGGUAAGGUAACGGCUUACCAAGGCGACGAUGCGUAGCCGACCUGAGAGGGUGAUCGGCCACUCUGGAACUGAGACACGGUCCAGACUCCUACGGGAGGCAGCAGUAGGGAAUCUUCCGCAAUGGGCGAAAGCUUGACGGAGCAACGCCGCGUGAGUGAUGAAGGUCUUCGGAUCGUAAAACUCUGUUAUUAGGGAAGAACAAAUGUGUAAGUAACUAUGCACGUCUUGACGGUACCUAAUCAGAAAGCCACGGCUAACUACGUG
rnacentral:rRNA from 1 species